AUUGAACGCUGGCGGCAUGCCUUACACAUGCAAGUCGAACGGCAGCGCGGGAGCAAUCCUGGUGGCGAGUGGCGAACGGGUGAGUAAUAUAUCGGAACGUGCCCAGUCGUGGGGAUAACGUAGCGAAAGCUACGCUAAUACCGCAUACGAUCUAUGGAUGAAAGCGGGGGAUCGCAAGACCUCGCGCGAUUGGAGCGGCCGAUAUCAGAUUAGGUAGUUGGUGAGGUAAAGGCUCACCAAGCCGACGAUCUGUAGCUGGUCUGAGAGGACGACCAGCCACACUGGGACUGAGACACGGCCCAGACUCCUACGGGAGGCAGCAGUGGGGAAUUUUGGACAAUGGGCGCAAGCCUGAUCCAGCAAUGCCGCGUGCAGGAUGAAGGCCUUCGG
rnacentral:rRNA from 1 species